rnacentral:siRNA from 1 species
UAUCAUCCUCAGACAGAUGGACA